rnacentral:rRNA from 1 species
AGAAUCAACGCUGGCGGCGUGCCUAACACAUGCAAGUCGAACGAGAAAGUGGAGCAAUCCAUGAGUAAAGUGGCGACCGGGUGAGUAACACGUGACUAACCUACCUUCGAGUGGGGGAUAACCUCGGGAAACCGAGGCUAAUACCGCAUAACAUCGUGAGAUCAAAGCAGUAAUGCGCUGGAAGAGGGGGUCGCGGCUGAUUAGCUAGUUGGCGGGGUAAUGGCCCACCAAGGCGAAGAUCGGUAGCCGGCCUGAGAGGGCGCACGGCCACACUGGAACUGAAACACGGUCCAGACUCCUACGGGAGGCAGCAGUGGGGAAUUUUGCGCAAUGGGGGAAACCCUGACGCAGCAACGCCGCGUGGAGGAUGAAGUCCCUUGGGACGUAAACUCCUUUCGACCAAGACGAUAAUGACGGUACUGGUGGAAGAAGCACCGGCUAACUCUGCGCCAGCAGCCGC